rnacentral:rRNA from 1 species
CCUACGGGGGGCAGCAGUGGGGAAUAUUGCACAAUGGGGGAAACCCUGAUGCAGCGACGCCGCGUGAGCGAAGAAGUAUCUCGGUAUGUAAAGCUCUAUCAGCAGGGAAGAAAAUGACGGUACCUGACUAAGAAGCCCCGGCUAACUACGUGCCAGCAGCCGCGGUAAUACGUAGGGGGCAAGCGUUAUCCGGAUUUACUGGGUGUAAAGGGAGCGCAGGCGGCGCGGUAAGUCUGAUGUGAAAGUCCGGGGCUCAACCCCGGGACUGCAUUGGAAACUGUCCGGCUAGAGUGCAGGAGAGGUAA